UGACCAGUGGCCUAGUGGUUAGAGCGUCCGCCUACGAUGCUGACUAUCGUCGGUUCAAUCCCCGGUAUAGUCAU